CAAGAAGAGCCAAUCUAAGGGGAAAUUGAGAAAGAAAAAGGAAAGGAAGAUUAAAUGAAUUUUCAGCGCUGUGGCAGAGCAAUGGAUCUGUGGUGGCAUAAGGAGAAUGGAGGAGAGAAGGCCCAUCUGGAUCGCUUAUACUGGACUCAUGUUGAAUUAUGAAAGCCAAGAAAAGAAAAGAAGAGCUACCAGCCAUGCAGCAGGAAGCUAGGAUAGGAGGCAAUAUUUCGGUUGGGAGAUUUCCUACGUCGUUCGUUGAAGAUCAGAAGAACUAAAGAAAUGAGAAGAUAAAUAACUUGCCAACUUGUGA
rnacentral:lncRNA from 1 species